AUAUGUAGUUCAGUGGUAGAACAGGUGAUUUGCAUGUGCAGAGCUCUGGAUUCAAAUUCCAGCAUAU
rnacentral:tRNA from 1 species